GUCUCCGUCUCCGUCUCCGUCUCCGUCUCCGUCACACUGCGUUCCCACGCCUGCACAGACACACAAACCCCAAGAUGGCCCUGCUGUUUGUGCAAACAUGUGCUAUUUAUAUUCAGAGUGCAGAGAGAGCAGCUGACUGUGAUCUUCAAACUGCUGGAUCUUCAACUGCUGGAGGAGAACAAGGACACCUUUGGAGAAAUGUCAGAUUUAGACGUGGAAGAACAACUGAAGCUGUACACCAUUGUAAAGGGGGAGUACUGUUACUGGAUGGCUACCACAAUCCGGAGCUGUCACUACAGGCCAGCACAAAACCCGGACAACACUGCACUUGAGUCACAAUUAACUGUAUUUGCACCACAAGCACUAAAGCACUCACUAUGGACUUGUGAUCACGUUUGUGUUUAUUGUUGGUGAUAUCUGGACUAUUAUUUCGGGACUGAACCUAUGGAUUAAACGGAGCAAUAUACCACGCUGUGUACUGCCUGUUAUCAUUUAUUGUUUACUGUUGUCAUCAGACUCUGGAUUACAAAUAAA